rnacentral:rRNA from 1 species
UACGAAGGGGGCGAGCGUUGUUCGGAAUCACUGGGCGUAAAGGGCGCGUAGGCGGCCUUCUAAGUCGGACGUGAAAUCCCUCGGCUUAACCGAGGAACUGCGUCCGAUACUGAAAGGCUUGAAUCCGGGAGAGGGAUGUGGAAUUCCAGGUGUAGCGGUGAAAUGCGUAGAUAUCUGGAGGAACACCGGUGGCGAAGGCGGCAUCCUGGACCGGUUCUGACACUGAGGAGCGAAAGCGUGGGGAGCGAUCCGG